UGAGGAAUAUUGGGCAAUGCCCACAAGGGUGACCCAGCAACGCCGCGUGGAGGAUGAAUGUCGUAAGAUUGUAAACUCCUGUUAGAGGGGAAGAAUAGUACCGGUUGGACCGGUAUAUGACUGUACCCUCAGAGAAAGCCCCGGCUAACUACGUGCCAGCAGCCGCGGUAAUACGUAGGGGGCAAGCGUUGUCCGGAUUUACUGGGUGUAAAGGGCGCGCAGGCGGGAUAAAAAGUCAGUGGUGAAAUCCUACAGCUUAACUGUAGAACUGCCUUUGAUACUUUUAUUCUUGAGUUCGGGAGAGAGAGACGGAAUUCCAGGUGUAGUGGUGAAAUACGUAGAUAUCUGGAAGAACACCAGUUGCGAAGGCUGUCUCUUGAUCCGACACUGACGCUGAGGCGCGAAAGCGUGGGGAGCAAACA
rnacentral:rRNA from 1 species